UUGGUAGAGUGUGCGACUCUUGAUCUCGGGGUCUUAAGUGCCAGCCCCAUGUUGGGUAGACAGAUUACUCAAAAAACAAAAGCAGAAACAAAUAGAAGUAAAAAAAAAUUCCUCCUCUAAGAAUGACUGAUCACACUGAUUUUUAAAAUAGAACAGGAGGGGCGCCUGGGUGGCUCAGUCGUUAAGCGUCUGCCUUCGGCUCAGGUCAUGAUCCCAGAGUCCUGAGAUCAAGCCCUGCAUCGGGCUCCCUGCUCAGCGGGCAGUCUGCUUCUCCCUCUGCCUCUCCCACCAGCUUGUGCUCUCUCUCUCUCAAAUAAAUAAAUAAAAUCUUAAAAAAGUAAGAUAAAACGACAACAUGACUCUAGUUUCUUAACUUGCUUAGUAUAAAGUUCCCAAUAUCAUGGGGGCAGUAAAAGAACAAAAGAAUGGGAACUGUGACAAGCACAGCGCUGGAGACACAGGGCUUAUAAAGAAAACCAUGAAGCAAGCAGUGUUCUUCAGUUACUAGAGGAGCAGAGAAGCCCCGAGUACCUGAGACAUGGUAUAGAACUCCACCAUCGCGGCCGUGAGCGGCUCCGCGUACGUGCGCAGGGACGGGAUGAGCCUCAGCAUGGCCCGGUUGAAGGUGCCAUAGAUCUGCGUCAGGGAGGCGGGUCCCGGGUAAUCCACAUACACAACAGGCACGUGACGCAAGAAUCUGUGUGAGGACAGGCAGCUCAGCCACUCCAGGGAAGGAGAGUGUGUUUUCCUGGGAUUGCAGCACAGCGAAAGGAGCCCAGGGGCCACCCUAUGGUGCGUGUGAGGCCUGCGCAGUCUACAAAGCUGUUACCUGUGAGAGAGGGGCUUUCUUCCAGGAUCAGUGGGUGGAUUACAAGCCCCGACAAACUGGAUUCUCUCCAGCUUCACCCAUGUUUGAUCUGAGGUUCGGUAA